rnacentral:rRNA from 1 species
AUUGAACGCUGGCGGCAGGCCUAACACAUGCCAGUCGAGCGAGUGGCGGACGGGUGAGUACUGUAUGGGGUCUUCCCGAUUGAGGGUGCUAACUCCUUGAUACGGUGGCCUAUUCCGCAUUUCGUCGGAUAACCCAUAUGGGAUUAGCUAGUAGGUAAGGUAAUGGCUUACCUAGGCGACGAUCCCUAGCUGGUCUGAGAGGAUGAUCAGCCACACUGGGACUGAGACACGGCCCAGACGCCUACGGAGGCAGCAGUGGGGAAUAUGGCACAAUGGGCGCAAGCGUGAUGCAACCAUGCCGCGUGUAUGAGGGAGGCCAUAGGGUUGUAAAGUGCUUGCAGUCGGGAGGCGUAACCGACAGGUGAGGCACCGGCUAACUCCGGGCCAGCAGCCGCGGUAAUUC